rnacentral:misc_RNA from 1 species
UCCGGCUUAUCACCGGCGGUUUCUUUAGAGUGCCCAACUAAAUGAUGGCAACUAAAGACGAGGGUUGCGCUCGUUGCGGGACUUAACCCAACAUCUCACGGCACGAGCUGACGACAGCCAUGCAGCACCUGUGCUGGCUCCCCGAAGGGUCCCUCACCUUUCGGAUCGGUACCACGUGCAUGUCAAGCCUGGGUAAGGUUCUUCGCGUUGCAUCGAAUUAAACCACACGCUCCGCUGCUUGUGCGGGCCCCCGUCAAUUCCUUUGAGUUUUAGCCUUGCGGCCGUAGUCCCCAGGCGGGGCACUUAUUGCGUUAGCUGCGGCACCGGGGGGGGUCGAUACCCCCGACACCUAGUGCCCAUCGUUUACGGCGUGGACUAC